CAUUACUAAUGGAAAAUAUGCUGCAAGAAAUUCAAGGGCAAAGAGAGUUGGAUGUUACUUGGCCAACACUAAUUAUGGUCUCCAUGAAGCUGGUAUAAGACGACAUGUAUUUUCAAAACUGGCAACUCUGAAAGUAAAUUGCAGCAAAGAGGAUUGAAAUAACAGAAAUUUUUGUGUUCUCAAAAUUUUACAGCAAAUGUCAAGCUUGUAGGUGUCGCAAAAAGAAAAGAAAUAAAAGAAAGAAAGAUACAUAUAUUGGAAGCUACGACUGGCGAAACCCUAUAUACGUGCACUACGACAUAGUCGUAGUUCCCUUCAUGGAAAAGGAAAUAAUUCAUAUUUAGAAAAUGCAAACGACGCAAACUGCAUGACAUUGUGAGCAGAAUUCUAUAUGCGCCGCCACUAAAGUGGUGAACAUAAACAAAAGCAAACAAAACGCGAAACCGCUCAAAAAAACCCUCGCACGACAAUGAGCAAAAGCGUAGCGUUCAGCGACACAUCCAAACAACGACUGGCUGCUCCACUCCACCAACAUUCAGCAUGGGCAGCGGGCUCCACCAGUAAUCCAAGCAUCUAACGAAUGCCACGUUACUCAGCAACGAGUCUUGUCGACUCUAUAGAACGUGCAUAUG